AGGAACAGGAUGGAAAAGCUACCCAUGAUAAAAUAUAAGAAGAGAGAGGUAAACUGAAGAAGGGUCCAGGAUAGUAUUUCCAGACAGCACAAGGAUCCCAAAGGAACAAAUGGCCUCAUGGUGAAAAUCAAACCCAAGGUGCUGCCAGCAAAAUGAGAUCACAGGGGGAUAUUUUCUCGUUGAGCCCUGCCAACCAUAUUCUCUGCUGGAGAGACCACAUUGAGACAUUCUGGAGAGAAGAGGGGACCAAAUGAAGUCAGCUUUCUAGUCAUUCCUUCCAAGGCUCAACGCAUGUGAGUGAAGCUAAAUGAAUACCUCUAGGUUACCUAAAUUGACUCUGUGUGGCACAGAAGGGGCUAGCCUAGCCUUGACUGGAUUCCCAACUUACAAAAUUGUGAGAAAUAAAAUGUUUGUUGAUCUAAGCCA